rnacentral:lncRNA from 1 species
AAGGAAGCUUUCUGCCAUCUUCAACUAUUCCAUCUUCUGCCAUCUUCAACUAUUCCAAUUUCCAUAAUCUCUUUACCUACACCCAGCUCUCUCUCUCUCUCUCUCCCUCUCCAAUUCUCCAAUUCUCCAAUUCUUCUUCUUCUGCCUUUUCCUUUUUUUUAUAUAUAGAUUUAAUUAUAGUCUCAAAUAUUUCCGGCGAAUGAAAAUAAUUUUUCAGUGAAGUAAUUGAUUUUUUUUCGAUAAAAGUUUUCUUAUAAUUGUGAUAAAUGAUUAGUAGUGAAAGAAAAUGAAGACAAUGAAUGGAAGAUGUAAUGCUAUUAAAAUGAAAGGUGAAUGAGGGGUAGCUUAACUGGACAUCAAUGGUGUAUUAUCAAUGUCGGUAAAAGGAAUAAGAUUUGAUGAAGAAGAAAGGGGAGGCGAUGGUAUACUGACGAUUGAGAUACAGCGGCCCAGUGCAAAGGGAAAUUAGUUCUGAUGCAGAAGAUGAAGAAGAAUGGUGGGGUGGGGUGGGGGUGGGGAUGGUUAAUUCAAAAAUAAUUUUUGGUUUUUCUUUUUAAAAUUCCUUUUGAAUUAUUUAAAUAAAAUUUUAAAAAUAAGUCAAGCCAAUUGACACGUGUCAUUAUUUCAUUGGUCUAUUUAGUAUGUUUAUGUGUUUGAGAUGCACGCAUGUUUGUCUUUUUAUUGAUUAUUAUUUUGUGUUAAAUAGGUAUAAAUUUGUUAAGAUUUAAGUGUUCAAUAGGUACAAGGCUACGUUGAGGUGUCUAAGUGAAAUAUACGAACAACUUUAAGGGGCCGC